CUGACGUUAGCGGCGGACGGGUGAGUAACACGUGGGUAACCUACCUAUAAGACUGGGAUAACUCCGGGAAACCGGGGCUAAUACCGGAUAACACAUGAAACCGCAUGGUUUCAUGAUGAAAGACGGUUUUGCUGUCACUUAUAGAUGUACCCGCGGCGUAUUAGCUAGUUGGUAAGGUAACGGCUUACCAAGGCAACGAUACGUAGCCGACCUGAGAGGGUGAUCGGCCACACUGGAACUGAGACACGGUCCAG
rnacentral:rRNA from 1 species